UACGGGGGGGGGGGCAAGCGUUGUUCGGAAUUACUGGGCGUAAAGGGCUCGUAGGCGGCCAACUAAGUCGGAUGUGAAAUCCCCAGGCUCAACUUGGGAACUGCAUCCGAUACUGGAUGGCUUGAAUUCGGGAGAGGGAUGCAGAAUUCCAGGUGUAGCGGUGAAAUGCGUAGAUAUCUGGAGGAAUACCGGUGGCGAAGGCGGCAUCCUGGACCGACAUUGACGCUGAUGAGCGAAAGCUAGGGGAGCAAACGGGG
rnacentral:rRNA from 1 species